GUUCCUGACUAGCUAAGGGAACUGCAGCACCAUAGGCAGCUCAGUGCUAGCAGGGAAUGAGAGCUCCUGGCUGGCUUCUGGGCCUGAACACAGAGGAGCCCUGAGGUUUGAGAUGGCUAUUCCCUGCUCUUCACAGCUAUUCGUCUGGGUGUACUUAGAGCGCAGAAGCAGAUCAGAGGCUCUUGGGACACAUUGCAUCAGGCCUGCAGUUAAGAAGCUGAAAGAAAAAAUCUGAGUGACACGGGAACAUGAUAGCAGCCAUCAAUCACUGCCGACUGUCUGACCUUGGUCCAUAAUAUGGGCUUCACCUUAAUUUCUGAAGAGGGCUUUCUUGCCUGUUGGAAGCUGAAAAAUACCACUCUGCAAGCACAGAUAUUCAUUUCAACUCUUUGCUGACAUGAGAGGGACUGAAAGAGGCAUCUGAGGAAAAGUAGCUUCUUUAGGUCUUGGCCCUGCGAUCCCUUGCGGGUGCACAGCAGGGAGUUCCAGCUUGUUGUGCUUCAGUGGCUACACAUGGGUGAAAUCAGGGACACUAAAUCGCUGUGAGCCACAGGCAGAGAACAGGCAAGACUGAGAUGCCACCACUGCACGAGACCCCUUCAGCUGCACAGGACUGAUUAGGACAAGAAGUAUAAAAGGAGGAUCCUGUAGCUCAGUUGGGGCUGGAACAGGGAAGGAGGCAGACGUCUCUUCUAGGAAGCAGAGCCCUCUCCAGGCUCCUGGACCAGUGGCCAAGCAGACUAGCAUCCUGCUGCCUGAGGAGACUGAAGGCUCUGAGAAGUUACUGGAGAGGAUGCCACCCACCUGCCAAGCAGCAAGAUGGAUCCUGGUGUUGACAGAGCAACAAAGGCAGAAUUAGGUAGGAAGUAGCCAUGGGGAGCCAGACUUUGGUGCAGUUGCACUGCUGGCAAGUGAGACAGUGUGUAUGGUUUUCCUUGCUGACUGAGGGGCGGGACCACCUGCCACUAACUGUGACCUGGUGGAGUACGGUGGGCCUGGGUCUCCCUACCCUCUGCUGCCACGCACUGCAGGGAUAUGGAGGUGGAGCUGGCAGUAACCCUCUUUUACUACAUCUAGUACCAGGGAAUGUGGAGGAGGGCAUGAAGAUGAUGGUGAGAGAGGCCCCCCUCACCUUUUUCCUAGAACAGUCAGAAUGGCUGGGCUGAGUUUAAGAGAACCCCUUCCCCCAGUCAGAUACAGGGAAUGAAUUCUUGAGUCAUAACACAUUCUAGAGGCUGGUACAAAAUAAGUACACACCAGAAACUGAUUGUUUGGGAAAAUAAUACUUAACCCUCCCACAGCAAUUUAUGCCUUUAAAGCACUAGACAAAUAUUCAUAUUCUCAGAACACCCCACAAGGCAGCUAUUAUUUAUCAGCCUUGCAGAGGGGGAAAGUGACAUGCAGAGAGGUUAUGGCUCAAACUGUUUGGAGAAGGGUGCCUACAGUUAGUAAAUUAUGCAUUUAGGUGCCUAAGUGGCCUGAUUUUCAGAGGUGCUUAGCACCUGCAGCUCCUGGUGAUUUCAAGAUAUAGAGGAUGGAACGCUGGCCCCAUUGAACUCAGUGGCAAAAUUCCUGUUGACUUCCAUGGGUUUAGUAUUUCACAGUGCCAGGAGCACGAUCUUUAUGGGCUACAGUUUUGCAUAUUUUGGUUGCUGUGACUAGUGCUCUUGGACACGGUCCCCUUACAUGCUCUCUACAAACCCUGAGGGGCAUUUCAGUUCCAUUUCUUGUCCCCUUCCCCUCACAGUGACUAGAAAUGUCUAGUCCUUGCCUGAUUACAUGAGUAAAGAAGUUGCUCGUGCCAUUCACAGAGGGAGUCCCACACUGAGAUCCUGCAGCCCACCUAUGGAGCUUACUCCUGGGCCUAGAACCCCUUGAUCCUAGGUCUGAGAACAAUGAAUGUUUUGCCUGCCCCUGUUCUGGUUGUCCAAGCUCAGGCUGAUCAGCAGUCAGCACCAUGGCCCUGUUAUGAAGUCCAAGAGACAGAAAUAGAGAGGGAUGAAAGGACUAGAAUGGCCUUUUCUGCCUAGCUGCCAGCCCCAUCUCUGCCAGGGCCACUGAAUAGCCAAGAGCAAUUUAAGUUUCUGUGGCUGCUCACACGGAUAAGGGAGACAAUGUGCCAUGGUAACUACAGUCUUGAAAGUCAGGUGUGAGGGGAGGGGGCUAUCCAGCUGUGGGGAAUGAAUUUCUGGCACCCUCAAAGGGCCAGUCCAUGUAGGCCCGCUUGCUACAACACGAUAAGGUUGCUGGUCGCUCAGGCCUCCAUGCGAAUCUGGUGUCACUGUGGCAUCGUGCUGGGUGGGAGAAAUUUCUCCAACCAAGAUAAAAGGGUUGUGAUGGCAGAAGUAGAUCAUGCCAAGUGUUACCCCUCUAAUUCAGUGCUGGGGCUGAAUCUUAGUGCUCAUGAAAACACGGGUGCAAGAGCCUUUGGGUUGUGCUAGGGCAGGUUUCUUGUGCUCCCAUCAAUCACGAGAGGUAAGUAAUACCUUCUCUGCCAGCCAGCCCUGCCACUCAAAUUCAGUCUUGAUGAGCAAACCCCUUCUUCAAGAGUCUAGUUCUAGCUCCUCCCACAGCUCUGCCGCAGCACCUCAGUCCUAGGUACAACACGUCUCCAAUUAAGUGACAUUUUGUGGCGAGUAAAAUCAAGCUGAAGUGCAAAGCCAGCUCUCCCAGAGGGAUGAGUGUUACCCUCCUCCAUCCUGAAUUCCCUGUCAUUCUAUCUUCACAACUCUUUCCCAUGCUCCAAAUCCAGUGGUGACAGCAAGUGCUUGGCAACCUCCAAUACCUGCCCGUGCUCUCAUGUGCAGCGUGGGGAGUGUCUGGCCAAGUUGCCGAUUCAGAUGGGAAUGAUCAGGAUACACAGACAGAGGCUUUCACCUAACAGUGGACUGUCCUAAACUCCUGUGUGGUGUUGCUGUUUGUGUAUUUGAUGGUGAGCGUCUUAGUUAUACAGCACCUUUCAUCCCAAAUCAUUCAACAGACUUAAAAUAACCAGAGGUGUCACUUCAGCCACCACUGAAAUGCAGCUGUCUCUGGGAUGAAACAUAGCAGCUGUUUGCCAGCACCAAGCAGCACAGCACACCAGUCGAAGGAAGGGAAGAGGAAUACUUAACAUAACACUGGAUCCGUACUUAAUAAUGGAAGUACUUAGCGCCAUUACAGAGCAAGGCAAUAGCAGUAUUGUUUUCAUGGUGCAGACUGAGGUAUUGUGAAGUGAAUGCCUCAGAUCAGUCAGUUAGCGGUAGAACCCAGGCAUCCUGCCGCUGAAGUCCCACACUCUGCCCCUGCUUUAUCCCUUGCUGCAUGAGUCUGGUGGCCAAAUCCUGCAGAUUUCAAUGAGUUAGGUGGCUCAGUACCUUCGAUGAUCUGUGCAUCUGGGCCUGUUUCCCCAUGGCUCAUGGGGAGAAUAAUCCUUCCUUUCUCUCCUGUACCACAUUUUCUUUAUGUAGACUAACCCUGCCCUUAAGAGUUUAGUCUCUCAUUGUGUGUUGU